rnacentral:lncRNA from 1 species
GUGCGUCAGCGGCCGGAAGUGGAGAAUCGGGGGAGGGGCUGAUGCUUCAGGAGAAGAAGGAGGCGGAAGAGAAAGUCGGCCUGCGCCUUCUUUCUUGGGAGAGUCCUGUGCGCCACCUUUGGGGCAGUUUUAAGGCCCUCUUUUGGUUGGCGUUUGGGCAGGAAAUGUCUCAGACGCCUUUAUGGCGUGAGGGUCGAGACACUGAAUAAUCUCUGAGGCGAUGGGGAAAAGAUCCAGCGGGAGGCGGAUUUCCCCACGCCUACUCGGCGCACAGCGAAUUAGGCAUUGAGCGUUCCCAGAGCUCAGCGUGUACUAAAUCUGCACCCUCCAUCCAAGGGGACGAUUUAAGAGUCGUCUCCCAGAAGACAAGAACAUGGAUUUUGGAAGGAAAUCGAGGCAUGAAGUGGAAACAGAAUUCAAAUGUUUCCUACUGUGGAUGGAGAUGUCACGCUGGACUGCAGCGCCCUGGGGGCAUGAGCUCACUGACAUGGAGUUUGGGGCAGGUCCUUCCAGGGGAGCUCUGGUCUGAGGGAGGAGUGGAUGACUUUCUGAAGGAACUGCUGUUGGAAGCCCUGGAAGCUUGCCGGUGUGGCUGUUUACGCACCCAGCCUCCCAGCUUGCUUUCAGUGGCCCAGCCCCUCUGCUGGAGCUGCGGAAGCUUCGUCGCUAACAGAGACAUCUUUAUUAUCCAGAUGGACAGCAUUUUCUUCUUAUCCUCCACCCUCUGAUGCACAUGGAAGUUGUUUCCAGCUAUUUGCUAAUGGAUAAAUUCUUCAAGAUGUUCUUCACUCGCCUUUCUAAAUGGAAGCAGGCUAUUACGGGCAAAGAUGGAUGAUACCUUUUGGCUUGGGAUCAGUUCUGCCCAGAGAGCUCCAGCCCAGCACACAGGCGCAAGGGGCCCUGACCCAUGCCGAACCAGCACUGGCAUCCUGUGGGCAGACACACCGACUGCCCAGACACGGUCCUGCUAGUGGGUAUUCCCAAGGCAUGACACUAUUAUUUGCAUUUUUCUCAUUGUGACAAAUGCCCAAGUGUUCUGAAUAUUAAUGAAACAAUUCGCAGCCUCCUUUGCAGGCUUAAAAUAUUCAGCAUCAGGCAUACUGUUUUGUUCCCAUUUCAGCCAAGUUUAAUUUCUCUUAACCAGCUUUGUUGUUGCAAAGUAAAAUUAAUGUAUAAUUUCAGUAUUUAAAUCUCAAUUCUCAGCAAUUCACGAC